rnacentral:lncRNA from 10 species
CCUUGAACAAGCUGGGUCUGUUCAGGGAACAAAAAGACAUAGUGUGCUGGGAGUGGUGUGAGCUGAGAGACUGGGAGAGCGCCUGGAGUGAGGGUGGACGGGUGGGUUCAAGUCGGGGAAAGGCGCACCUGAUUCAGUUAUAAAAAGGUUAUUCUCGCUGCUGUGUGGGGAAACCAUCAGAGGCCUUGGGAUGUUUUGACUUUGGUUUCCUUCACUUCCAAUGGGUGGUCUCUGUCUCUUCUGUUAACUUCCAGGGGAAAAAUCUGUGAUUGACCUGGCUGAGACCUUCGCCCCAUACGUAAGUUGCCGGCCAGCCAGUGGGUUGGCUGCCCCAGGGCCAGACGGUCGGACUCAGUCACACAGGGUUGCCCUUGGAAGAGGGGCCCUGUUUGGUUUGACCUUCUGUUGUUGUUGUCUUGAAAUUCCAAAUGCAUUUUGAACAAGUGGCACUCCUUUUUUAUUUUGCACUGGGCCCUGUCAAUUAUGAAGCCAGUCCUGCACCCCAGCUCCAAUCUGUGGUCAGCCCUGGCUCAAUGACUUGCUCCAGGCCUUAAAAAAAAAAUUAAUUAAAUCAGCAGUGAGCUGUGGAUGAUGGUAUUUCCCUGAGGCCAGGCUGGUGUGGUGGGUGAGGCAGGAACCCUGAGGGAUGUGGCUGGUGCCUUAGCUCAGAGCUGCAGGGGAAAAACCAUCGCCUUUGCCACUCAGGGUGCUGAACCCCAGCAAACAACCCCUGUGAGAUCCACGUAUACACCUAUGAGGGGUGGGGUGAGGAGGGUUGCUGGGGACCCCCAGGACUUAGAAAGCUGAGCCAGCCUUUCUGCCUUUUAAUUUAUUUAACCAAGGUCUCUGGGUGGAAGAACCUCAUGCAGGUCCUGUUAUAAAAGAGACUACUCAAUAAAGCACAGGUGGCAGGCCAAGAAAAUCCAGGCUGUCUUGGGCGGUCAGCUGGGCCUCCUGAGGCAGAGGACUGGGGUUGUUCCCAAGGCUUCUGGGCAUCCCGAGAGAUCCAAGACUCUGGGGUCCAUCCGGGGAGUGGCUGUGGAGCAGCUAAGAGGGGAAGUGGGCAUUAGACAUGUCCUCUCUGGAAAGAAAAAGGUGAACACCCAGGAGAAGAGCUAGCAGGGAGAAGGAGGAGCGGGCCAAUCACGAAGGAGAAAGGGUCUUUGGUGGCUCAGAUGAACCAAUCCCAGUGCCUUCUAACAGUUGGAGAGUAAGAAGGAUCCUGGAGCGGGGGAACUUCUGACAGCUCCUGCUCAUCCCCGGAGAAGACAGAAGCCCAUCACCUGGUACACUUCAGAGGAACACGCACCUGACAGCCAAGGAGAACUGGGCAGUAGUCCUCGGAUGUUGGGCGUCAUUUUCCGUGGGCAGUUGGGAGUCACUGUGCUUCUCCCACAAAAACUCUUCUCACAGUCCAACUUGUAUACAAACCCAUCAGACUGCUAGCCCCAGGGCAGGUACCUACCUAUCUUCCUGUCCCAGUACUGAGGGGCUCAAUAACUAUUGUUAACCUGAAGACACCGAAAACCUUGACAGCGCUGAGCUUGUUACAGCACCAUCUUGCUGUGUGUCCAUGUGCAGGUGCAACUGUACGUGAGAUCAGCGGCCAACCACCACCCUUUCCCAGGCCACACUCCAUCAGCAAGAGACUAUGCUACACCCCAAGACGAGAUGCAGCCAAUAAACAUGUCUAUGUAUUGACCUGA